rnacentral:tRNA from 1 species
CGGGGUCGAACCGGCACGGGGUUACCCCCGAGGGAUUUUAAGUCCCUUGCGUCUACCGAUUUCGCCAUCCGGGCAGGAUCUCGCUUC